rnacentral:rRNA from 1 species
GACGAACGCUGGCGGCGUGCUUAACACAUGCAAGUCGAACGGUAAGGCCCUUCGGGGUACACGAGUGGCGAACGGGUGAGUAACACGUGGGUGAUCUGCCCUGCACUUCAGGAUAAGCCUGGGAAACUGGGUCUAAUACCGGAUAGGACCACUGCCUGCAUGGGUGGUGGUGGAAAGCUUUUGCGGUGUGGGAUGGGCCCGCGGCCUAUCAGCUUGGUGGUGGGGUGAUGGCCUACCAAGGCGACGACGGGUAGCCGGCCUGGGAGGGUGACCGGCCACACUGGGACUGAGAUACGGCCCAGACUCCUACGGGAGGCAGCAGUGGGGAAUAUUGCACAAUGGGCGCAAGCCUGAUGCAGCGACGCCGCGUGAGGGAUGACGGCCUUCGGGUUGUAAACCUCUUUCAGCACCGACGAAGCGCAAGUGACGGUAGGUGCAGAAGAAGGACCGGCCAACCACGUGCCAGCCGCCGCCGUAA